UACGUAGGGGGCAAGCGUUAUCCGGAUUCACUGGGUGUAAAGGGAGCGUAGACGGCCAUGCAAGCCUGGAGUGAAAGCCCGGGGCCCAACCCCGGGACUGCUCUGGGAACUGUGCGGCUGGAGUGCGGGAGGGGCAGGCGGAAUUCCUGGUGUAGCGGUGAAAUGCGUAGAUAUCAGGAGGAACACCAGUGGCGAAGGCGGCUUACUGGACUGUAACUGACGUUGAGGCUCGAAAGCGUGGGGAGCAAACAGG
rnacentral:rRNA from 1 species